CGGUAAUACGUAGGGCGCAAGCGUUGUCCGGAUUCACUGGGUGUAAAGGGUGCGCAGGCGGGAAUGCAAGUCAUCAACGAAUCUUACGGCUUAACCGUGAAACUGCCUUUGAUACUGCAUUUCUUGAGUCAGGGAGAGGUUGAUGGAAUUCCAGGUGUAGCGGUGAAAUGCGUAGAUGCCUGGAAGAAAACCGGUGGUCGAGGCGGUCAACUGGCCCUGAACUGACGCUCAGGCACGAAAGCGUGGGGAUCAAACUGGAUUAGAUACCCUGGUAGUCCACGUUCUAAACGAUGAAUACGGUUUGUUGGUGCAUAUGGGUCAGUGCCGAAGGAAACCUGAUAAGUAUUCCACCUGGGGAGUACGCUCGCAAGGGUGAA
rnacentral:rRNA from 1 species